rnacentral:lncRNA from 1 species
CACUGAUCAGGAGUGAUUGUCACCUUUCCAGAGGAUGACAAUGGCUGGGGGCUCCUUGGGCGGGAGCUGAUAAACUUGGGGAGGAUACUUGCCCUGGAAACCGAACCACCAUGUUGUGCAGAAGCUCAAACCAUUUGGAGAAGUCCUAUCAGGUUCUCCAGCCAAUUGUCCCAGCUAAGGACACUGCCAACAGCCAGCAUCAACCACCAACCAUGUGAGUAGACAAGACUUUAGAUGGUUCUGGUUGUCAUCUUUGGAGUUUUCCAGCUGAGGCCCCAGACAUGAUGCAUAAGAGACAAACCAUCCCCUUCUGCCCUGUCCCAAUUCAUGAACCCAACCCCAAAU